rnacentral:rRNA from 1 species
UACGGAGGGGGUUAGCGCUGUUCGGAAUACUGGGCGUAAAGCGUGCGUAGGCGGAUUGGAAAGUUAGAUGUGAAAUCCAAGGCUCAACCUUGGAACUGCAUUUAAAACUCCCAAUCUAGAGUUCUGGAGAGGUAAGUGGAAUUCCUAGUGUAGAGGUGAAAUUCGUAGAUAUUCGGAGGAACACCAGUGGCGAAGGCGGCUCACUGGCUCGAUACUGACGCUGAGGUGCGAAAGUGUGGGGAGCAAACAG